rnacentral:rRNA from 1 species
AGUUUGACUGGGGCGGUCUCCUCCCAAAGAGUAACGGAGGAGCACGAAGGUGGGCUAAUCACGGUUGGACAUCGUGAGGUUAGUGCAAUGGCAUAAGCCCGCUUAACUGCGAGAAUGACGGUUCGAGCAGGUGCGAAAGCAGGUCAUAGUGAUCCGGUGGUUCUGUAUGGAAGGGCCAUCGCUCAACGGAUAAAAGGUACUCCGGGGAUAACAGGCUGAUACCGCCCAAGAGUUCAUAUCGACGGCGGUGUUUGGCACCUCGAUGUCGGCUCAUCACAUCCUGGGGCUGAAGUCGGUCCCAAGGGUAUGGCUGUUCGCCAUUUAAAGUGGUACGCGAGCUGGGUUUAGAACGUCGUGAGACAGUUCGGUCCCUAUCUGCCGUGGGCGUUGGAAGAUUGAAGGGGGCUGCUCCUAGUACGAGAGGACCGGAGUGGACGAACCUCUGGUGUUCGGGUUGUGUCGCCAGACGCAUUGCCCGGUAGCUAAGUUCGGAAUUGAUAAGCGCUGAAAGCAUCUAAGCGCGAAGCGAGCCCUGAGAUGAGUCUUCCCUGAUACUUUAAGUAUCCUAAAGGGUUGUUCGAGACUAGAACGUUGAUAGGCAGGGUGUGUAAGCGUUGUGAGGCGUUGAGCUAACCUGUACUAAUUGCCCGU